rnacentral:rRNA from 1 species
UGGGGAAUAUUGGACAAUGGGCGAAAGCCUGAUCCAGCCAUGCCGCGUGUGUGAAGAAGGUCUUCGGAUUGUAAAGCACUUUAAGUUGGGAGGAAGGGCAGUAAAUUAAUACUUUGCUGUUUUGACGUUACCGACAGAAUAAGCACCGGCUAACUCUGUGCCAGCAGCCGCGGUAAUACAGAGGGUGCAAGCGUUAAUCGGAAUUACUGGGCGUAAAGCGCGCGUAGGUGGUUCGUUAAGUUGGAUGUGAAAUCCCCGGGCUCAACCUGGGAACUGCAUUCAAAACUGACGAGCUAGAGUAUGGUAGAGGGUGGUGGAAUUUCCUGUGUAGCGGUGAAAUGCGUAGAUAUAGGAAGGAACACCAGUGGCGAAGGCGACCACCUGGACUGAUACUGACACUGAGGUGCGAAAGCGUGGGGAGCAAAACAGGA